UACGUAGGGUGCGAGCGUUAAUUGGAAUUACUGGGCGUAAAGCGUGCGCAGGCGGUUCGUUGUGUCGGCGGGGAAAGCCCCGGGCUCAACCUGGGAAUGGCCGUUGAAACUGGCGAACUGGAGUGUGGCAGAGGGGGGUGGAAUUCCGCGUGUAGCAGUGAAAUGCGUAGAGAUGCGGAGGAACACCGAUGGCGAAGGCAGCCCCCUGGGCUAACACUGACGCUCAGGCACGAAAGCGUGGGGAGCAAACAGG
rnacentral:rRNA from 1 species